rnacentral:rRNA from 1 species
CCUACGGGGGGCAGCAGUGGGGAAUAUUGCACAAUGGGCGCAAGCCUGAUGCAGCGACGCCGCGUGAGCGAUGAAGGCCUUCGGGUCGUAAAGCUCUGUCCUAAGGGAAGAAUAAUGACGGUACCUUAGGAGGAAGCCCCGGCUAACUACGUGCCAGCAGCCGCGGUAAUACGUAGGGGGCGAGCGUUAUCCGGAAUCACUGGGCGGAAAGGGUGCGUAGGCGGCCAUGCAAGUAAGGAGUUAAAUCCCUCGGCUAAACCGAGGUCAGCACUUGAAACUGUAGGGCUUGAGUGAAGGAGAGGAGAAGGGAAUACCUAGUGUAGCGGUGAAAUGCGUAGAUAUCAGGAGAAACACCAGUGGCGAAGGCGGCUCUCUGGACUGCAACUGACGCUGAGGCACGAAAGCGUGGGGAGCGAACGGGAUUAGAUACCCUGGUAGUC